rnacentral:rRNA from 1 species
GGGUUGUGAGGUUAAGCGACUAAGCGUACACGGUGGAUGCCCUGGCAGUCAGAGGCGAUGAAGGGCGUGCUAAUCUGCGAUAAGCGCCGGUAAGGUGAUAUGAACCGUUAUAACCGGCGAUACCCGAAUGGGGAAACCCAGUGUGACUCGUCACACUAUCAUUAACUGAAUCCAUAGGUUAAUGAGGCGAACCGGGGGAACUGAAACAUCUAAGUACCCCGAGGAAAAGAAAUCAACCGAGAUUCCCCCAGUAGCGGCGAGCGAACGGGGAGGAGCCCAGAGCCUGAAUCAGCAUGUGUGUUAGUGGAAGCGUCUGGAAAGGCGCGCGAUACAGGGUGACAGCCCCGUACACAAAAGCGCAUGUGCUGUGAGCUCGAUGAGUAGGGCGGGACACGUGGUAUCCUGUCUGAAUAUGGGGGGACCAUCCUCCAAGGCUAAAUACUCCUGACUGACCGAUAGUGAACCAGUACCGUGAGGGAAAGGCGAAAAGAACCCCGGCGAGGGGAGUGAAAAAGAACCUGAAACCGUGUACGUACAAGCAGUGGGAGCACCCUUUGGGUGUGACUGCGUACCUUUUGUAUAAUGGGUCAGCGACUUAUAUUCUGUAGCAAGGUUAACCGAAUAGGGGAGCCGGAGGGAAACCGAGUCUUAAUUGGGCGUUAAGUUGCAGGGUAUAGACCCGAAACCCGGUGAUCUAGCCAUGGGCAGGUUGAAGGUUGGGUAACACUAACUGGAGGACCGAACCGACUAAUGUUGAAAAAUUAGCGGAUGACCUGUGGCUGGGGGUGAAAGGCCAAUCAAACCGGGAGAUAGCUGGUUCUCCCCGAAAGCUAUUUAGGUAGCGCCUCGUGAAUUCAUCUCCGGGGGUAGAGCACUGUUUCGGCUAGGGGGCCAUCCCGGCUUACCAACCCGAUGCAAACUGCGAAUACCGGAGAAUGUUAUCACGGGAGACACACGGCGGGUGCUAACGUCCGUCGUGAAGAGGGAAACAACCCAGACCGCCAGCUAAGGUCCCAAAGUCAUGGUUAAGUGGGAAACGAUGUGGGAAGGCCCAGACAGCCAGGAUGUUGGCUUAGAAGCAGCCAUCAUUUAAAGAAAGCGUAAUAGCUCACUGGUCGAGUCGGCCUGCGCGGAAGAUGUAACGGGGCUAAACCAUGCACCGAAGCUGCGGCAGCGACACUGUGUGUUGUUGGGUAGGGGAGCGUUCUGUAAGCCUGUGAAGGUGUGUCGUGAGGCAUGCUGGAGGUAUCAGAAGUGCGAAUGCUGACAUAAGUAACGAUAAAGCGGGUGAAAAGCCCGCUCGCCGGAAGACCAAGGGUUCCUGUCCAACGUUAAUCGGGGCAGGGUGAGUCGACCCCUAAGGCGAGGCCGAAAGGCGUAGUCGAUGGGAAACGGGUUAAUAUUCCCGUACUUGGUGUUACUGCGAAGGGGGGACGGAGAAGGCUAUGUUGGCCGGGCGACGGUUGUCCCGGUUUAAGCGUGUAGGUGUGUGUUCCAGGUAAAUCCGGUUCACUUUAACACUGAGGCGUGACGACGAGGCACUACGGUGCUGAAGCAACAAAUGCCCUGCUUCCAGGAAAAGCCUCUAAGCAUCAGGUAACAUCAAAUCGUACCCCAAACCGACACAGGUGGUCAGGUAGAGAAUACCAAGGCGCUUGAGAGAACUCGGGUGAAGGAACUAGGCAAAAUGGUGCCGUAACUUCGGGAGAAGGCACGCUGACACGUAGGUGAAGUGAUUUACUCAUGGAGCUGAAGUCAGUCGAAGAUACCAGCUGGCUGCAACUGUUUAUUAAAAACACAGCACUGUGCAAACACGAAAGUGGACGUAUACGGUGUGACGCCUGCCCGGUGCCGGAAGGUUAAUUGAUGGGGUCAGCGCAAGCGAAGCUCCUGAUCGAAGCCCCGGUAAACGGCGGCCGUAACUAUAACGGUCCUAAGGUAGCGAAAUUCCUUGUCGGGUAAGUUCCGACCUGCACGAAUGGCGUAAUGAUGGCCAGGCUGUCUCCACCCGAGACUCAGUGAAAUUGAACUCGCUGUGAAGAUGCAGUGUACCCGCGGCAAGACGGAAAGACCCCGUGAACCUUUACUAUAGCUUGACACUGAACAUUGAGCCUUGAUGUGUAGGAUAGGUGGGAGGCUUUGAAGUGUGGACGCCAGUCUGCAUGGAGCCGACCUUGAAAUACCACCCUUUAAUGUUUGAUGUUCUAACGUGGACCCGUUACCCGGGUUGCGGACAGUGUCUGGUGGGUAGUUUGACUGGGGCGGUCUCCUCC